GGCCGACUAGCUCAGUUGCGUCGUGCUAAUAACGCGAAGGUCUUGGGUUCGAUCCCCACGUUGGCCA
rnacentral:tRNA from 1 species